rnacentral:rRNA from 1 species
AGUGAACGCUGGCGGUAGGCCUAACACAUGCAAGUCGAACGGCAGCACAGGAGAGCUUGCUCUCUAGGUGGCGAGUGGCGGACGGGUGAGGAAUACAUCGGAAUCUGCCCAGUCGUGGGGGAUAACGUAGGGAAACUUACGCUAAUACCGCAUACGACCUUCGGGUGAAAGAGGGGGAUCGCAAGACCUCUCGCGAUUGGAUGAGCCGAUGUCGGAUUAGCUAGUUAGCGGGGUAAUGGCCCACCAAGGCGACGAUCCGUAGCUGGUCUGAGAGGAUGAUCAGCCACACUGGAACUGAGACACGGUCCAGACUCCUACGGGAGGCAGCAGUGGGGAAUAUUGGACAAUGGGCGCAAGCCUGAUCCAGCCAUACCGCGUGGGUGAAGAAGGCCCUCGGGUUGUAAAGCCCUUUUGUUGGGAAAGAAAUCUUUCAGGCUAAUACCCUGGGAGGAUGACGGUACCCAAAGAAUAAGCACCGGCUAACUUCGUG